GACAUCGCAAUGCAGUAUGAGUAAGCUUGCCGUGUGUCACCGAUGUCGAGUCAAGUACGUCCGCGAUUAAAAGUAAAGAGUAAGGAUUAAGAGUAAAGUUUGUGUGUCUGUCACCCUAGACCAUUUGGCAUAAAAACUCAAAUAACUCAACAUAACCUUAGGUGAAAUAUGAAUUCGAUGAUAGGUAUUCGAAUGUUUAAAUUUCUAAUUGUGCAACUUUUAUAAAAAUAAACCAAAUAACUAUACAAUUAUGGGGCAAUUUUCAGAUUCAGGGUGUGUGAAUAUAGCUACAAAAUAACGAAAUUUGGUAUUUGGCAGUGUUGCUAGGUCCUUAGAAUAAAUCGGGAAAGAACAUGUGAUAUAUUUAUUAAUUAAUUUAUUAACAUGGAAAACAUAAACUAGGUAAAAUAACGAGAAAAAAUUUAUCUUGGCAAUUGCUUUUAGGGGUGGCAUUGAGUAGAAUCAUGGACGCUAAAAGUAUCAAUAAUAAACCGAACUCAAGCUUUGAAAAUGUGGAUACGUAGACGAAUAUUAAAGAUUAUUUGGAUGACUCACAUAAACAACAAUGAAGUUUGAGAAGAUUCAACAAGAAUAGAGAAUUAAUAAAAACUGUUAAUAGGAAAAUCUCAUUUGGGUCGUAGAUUGACAGCAAAUAGUUAUAGAAUACUACAAAUGGAUUUCAAGUGAAAAAAUAGGACAAAGCGGAGUAAAGGUAAACAAGCUUCUUGGUUGACAAUAUUUAAGAUUGGAAUGAAAUACGAAAUGCGGAGGGAGCAAUUUACUUAGAUAGCAGGAGGCCGUAAAGCCUUCGCCAUGGUGAUCACCAAUGUCAAAUAACUCUGAUGUGGUACAUAAAGAAUGAGAAGUGAACAAGUAACAGACGUCUAUCCGAGGAGGACUUCGCUGCAACGCGGCGACAAAUAGAAUUGUAUUUUAUUUUUAUGUCUUUUUGAUCUGUACAUAAUUACAUUGAAUAUACGUAUUUUGUUUUAA
rnacentral:lncRNA from 1 species